rnacentral:lncRNA from 1 species
CGUUCCGGCACCUUUUAAGGUAAAGGAGGAGGGCAUGUGCGUUUAACUCAUUAGCCAAUCAGACUCUGAAGCCGCUUCUCAAAGCCGCUUCCUGUCUCUCCACUUAUCUCUCCGUUUGGUGGUGGGCUGGUAAGUGUGCACUUAAUUUCGCUCCCUGUUUUGAAUUUCUCCUCCGUUUGAACCCUGUAUCCUGAUGGCAGGCCUUUAUUUCAAGUUGAAGAUGGAAUCCAUGGAGGAAGGCAGACGCCUGGGUGCCAGUCCAGAAGUGGCACUGUGAAAGCACCUGUCACAUCUGCUGUAGACGCCCUAGCAAUCCAGUGGGCUUGGAUUUGGACAUUCUCAGGAGGAACGGUUAAAGGCUGAUGGGACCAUAAAAGAUGAUAAUAUCUGGAAAGAUGAUGCUCAGAUACUUGGUAGAUCGUGUAAUUCAACUAAUUCCAAGAUAGAAGCUGGUUCAUUUGAUACCAGAGAAAUGAAGUUUCAGGAGAUCAAAACUGGAUCUCAGUCUCAUUUCUUUCCCAGGCUGGAAUUCUUGGGUGCUAUAAGUCCUGGAUAUACAACAGAUGUGAUGACAACAUUUUUCUUUUACGCAUGAAGAUAGAUGAUUCUUCAAAUUAAAGAUUGAAGCUGACUUUUCUCACCAGAAAUGGCUUAUAGAACCAACUUGGAAAAAUGUCAGAGGCAUCAAAG